rnacentral:rRNA from 1 species
AUACGGAGGAUGCAAGCGUUAUCCGGAUUUAUUGGGUUUAAAGGGUGCGUAGGCGGUUUGCUAAGCGGGAGGUGAAAUGCCGGCGCUCAACGUCGGAAGUGCCUCCCGAACUGGUGGACUUGAAUGACUCUGCCGUGGGAGGAAUGUGUAGUGUAGCGGUGAAAUGCUUAGAGAUUACACAGAACACCGAUUGCGAAGGCUUCUCACGAAGGGUUGAUUGACGCUGAGGCACGAAAGCGUGGGGAUCAAACAGGAUUAGAUACCCUGGUAGUCCACGCAGUAAACGAUGAUGGCUAACCGCUGGGCUUAUCAGUUCAGUGGCCAAGCGAAAGCGAUAAGCCAACCACCUGGGGAGUACGACCGCAAGGUUGAAUCUCAAAGGAAUUGACGGGGG